CAGAGAUGUUGUUUUCCCUUCGGGGACUUGGACACAGGUGCUGCAUGGCUGUCGUCAGCUCGUGUCGUGAAAUGUUGGGUUAAGUCCCGCAACGAGCGCAACCCUUGUCCUUAGUUGCCAGCAUUUAGUUGGGGGACCUAAAGGGAACGGGCGUGAUAAAACUAGAGGAAGGUGGGGAUGACGUCAAGUCCUCAUGGCCCUUACGGGCUGGGCUACACACGUGCUACAAUGGUGGUGACAGUGGGCAGCGAGACAGCGAGAGCGAGCUAAUCUCCAAAAGCCAUCUCA
rnacentral:rRNA from 1 species